CAGUGCUUUAAUCUGAUUAGACCUGGCUAAAAUCCCAAACCGGGGCUGAAGUGCAGUGCUUGUGGUUUCUGAACAGCUUACGCUAAGUCUGUACCAUGGAAAUAAUCUACUCUUAAAACCCAGGGAACAAAUCAACUAUGCGGCUGUAGCUCAUGUCUCGUAUGGAAUCUGCAGACCUCCGUGACCCGUCGGCCAAGAACCCGGUGACCUGCUGCGAGGAACGUCUGACCCCAGAGGUCGCGGCGUACAGGUUGCUGAAGUCACCACAUGGGUGGAGCCAAGGCGGAGUCUGGGUGGAGUCAGGGCGGAGAAUAGGCGGGGAGGUGGGUGGCGGCCUCCCCCCUCUACUCCCCCACCUCCCACCACCACCCACCACACCUUCCCCCGCCCGACGAGUUUUUCGAGUCUCCACGAGUUCUUCGAGUCUCGACAGGUUUUCCCGAGUUUCUGGAGUUUCCACCAGGUCCGAGGCAGAACAAGUUGUCAUGAAGAGGUGUUGAAGUGCCAGGAUGGACUGACUUUUUACAGCGACUAGAAGGAAGACGACUAGAAGAGCAGGUCUUUAACCACCAUCCAUGAAAUCCAUGAUGUUGACUCCAGAGAAAUGAAGGGAGGUCAAUUUUUAUCAACCUCCAUCCAGAUAUUCAACUUGAUAUCUUUACUUGGAGAUUUUUAGCACCACAAACCUUUAGUAUCACACUUUAUUAUCAUUUAUUAGGACUUUAAUGGAAUCCACCAGCAGAUUUAGUUUUUGUUGACAAACUUUAUUCUUGUCGUUGUGGGACUGCAGUAUUUAAAACUGUUCCUUCUAUUUGACCUCAUGUUUAUUAGUUUUAGUUUAGAAAGUUAUUUUAAUUGUCCAUUAGUCUCUUAAAAACUAAAUAAUAAAUUGAAUUAGUCAAGAGGUUUUAAUUUCUUACUUUGUCAUAUUUCAGAUAUGACAAAAAAAUAUAAAAAUAAAGUGUCUUGAGACAAUUUGACCUGUAAUUGGCGUUAUAUAAAUAAAAUUGAAUUAAAAUUGUAUAUAUCUUGUAAUGUUGGAGUAAUUCAGCCAUAUAUGUUGGAAAACACAUUUUCUUUGUCCAUUAAUCUGUUGUUUUCUCCAGUAAUUCAUUUCUUGUUUUGGUUUAUAAAAUAGCAAACCCAAAUAUAUUAAGUUUACUGUCAUAAAAACCAAAAAGAUUUACAUUCAUGAUGCAGGAAUCUGGCAGUUUUUCACUUUUUAUCUUAGUUUAGUUAGAAAGAUAGUUGAUAAUGUGUGAAUUGUUGCAGCUUGUGAGCUGUAGAAGGUUUUAAUCUUUGGGGCCGAGUCUCAAAAAACAUUUAGAAACCAACAUCAACAAAACACUCAACAAAGAGAAAUCCAACUUUUGUAUGACAAUGUCUAAUUAAAGGACAUUUAUUUCCAACGUAAAUGUGUGAUAUUCAUCCUCUGGAGCUUUCUCUUCACAUCGUCUUCCACCUGGACUGCUUUGGUCGGGAGCAUGUGCAACAAACAUUUGAAAAACUGCACUUUAACAUCAAUGAAUGACACUGAAGUUUAAUCUCUACAUAAUGAGACUGAGUCUGGAUGUGCUGCUCUGUCAUUAACUCCUAAGUUUAGGGAAAGUUCAAACAAAAGAGGACAGUUCAGAUAAGACUUGAAAAUGAGCUUAUUUUGAACAAACAUCUCAGACUUUCUGAGCUUCAGCACCUCUAGCAAGAUAUUUUAACAAGCAACUCAAGAGAUCCAGAAGUUGGAGAGAGUUAGCUUUAGCUGAGCCAAAGAACAUGUGGGACGCUAACCUAGCAAACAUUUCAGACUUUUCUCUGUAAAUUCUGAGAAAUAAUUUCUUAUUUAAUAACAGAGCUACACAUCUUAACUCAGUCUCAUUAAAACAGACUCUAAUUCAGUGUCAUCCAUCCAUAUUGAAGUGCAGUUACCCAAAAUGUUUGUUGCAUGAGCUCCAACAAAACCUGUCCAGGUAGAAGGCCACUUUGACAAACAGGAAGUGGAAGAUUCCAAGCAGAUUUAUAGAAGGGGGAACCGGACUGUACUAAGUGUGGUCGAGUAUAAAGGGGUGUUUUGUGGGUUUUUAAGGCUGAUAAUGAUUAUUUCUGAGACAUUUGGAGUCGAUAUUCAUUUGCAGUAAAUGAAAGUAUUUAAAAUCUUGAGUUAAACUUAGAAGAACACAAACUAACAGAAAACUUUGUUGAUACGUUUUUGUUUGGUUUACAGAUGUUAAGUUAAAGGAGUUUUAUUCGUGACAUAUAACCAAUCAAAUCACUCCAGAAGACAGAGCGACCACAGGUAGAUAAAGUUUCAGAGCCAAAGUAGCACCAUUUUUAAAUGUAUUUAUUACCGUAAAUCAGUAAAAAAUAAAAUAUUGAUAAUCAGUAAAUCAGUCAGCCCACAAUUACUACAAUUCUACAAUGUAUGUCUCUUUCCUUUGACUUGUUAUUUGUACAAUAUACAAUGUAUAUGAUGGCGUUUUUUCAUACCAAAGGCUAAACUAUGAUGUUUUCUCAGAGACAUACCAUGCUACU